rnacentral:rRNA from 1 species
GACGAACGCUGGCGGCGUGCCUAAUACAUGCAAGUAGAACGCUGAAGCUUGGUGCUUGCACCGAGCGGCUGAGUUGCGAACGGGUGAGUAACGCGUAGGUAACCUGCCUGGUAGCGGGGGAUAACUAUUGGAAACGAUAGCUAAUACCGCAUAACAGUAGAUAUCGCAUGAUAGCUACUUGAAAGGUGCAAAUGCACCACUACCAGAUGGACCUGCGUUGUAUUAGCUAGUUGGUGAGGUAACGGCUCACCAAGGCAACGAUACAUAGCCGACCUGAGGGGGUGAUCGGCCACACUGGGACUGAGACACGGCCCAGACUCCUACGGGAGGCAGCAGUAGGGAAUCUUCGGCAAUGGACGGAAGUCUGACCGAGCAACGCCGCGUGAGUGAAGAAGGGUUUCGGAUCGUAAAGCUCUGUUGUAAGAGAAGAACGAGUGUGAGAGUGGAAAGUUCACACUGUGACGGUAUCUUACCAGAAAGGGACGGCUAACUACGUG